rnacentral:rRNA from 1 species
AUUGAACGCUGGCGGCAGGCCUAACACAUGCAAGUCGAACGAGUGGCGGACGGGUGAGUAAUGUCUGGGAAACUGCCCGAUGGCGGGGGAUAACUACUGGAAACGGUAGCUAAUACCGCAUACCAUCGGAUGUGCCCAGAUGGGAUUAGCUAGUAGGGGGGGUAACGGCUCACCUAGGCGACGAUCCCUAGCUGGUCUGAGAGGAUGACCGGCCAAACUGAAACGGAGACCCGGCCCAGACUCCUAGGGGGGGCAGCGGGGGGGAAUAUUGCACAAUGGGCGCAGGCCUGAUGCAGCCAUGCCGGGGGGAGGAAGAGGGCCUUCGGUUUGAAAAGUACUUUCAGCGAGGAGACGUUACUCGCAGAAGAAGCACCGGCUAACUCCGUGCCAGCCGCCGCGGUAAUA